rnacentral:rRNA from 1 species
CUACGUGCCAGCAGCCGCGGUAAUACGUAGGUCCCGAGCGUUGUCCGGAUUUAUUGGGCGUAAAGCGAGCGCAGGCGGUUAGAUAAGUCUGAAGUUAAAGGCUGUGGCUUAACCAUAGUACGCUUUGGAAACUGUUUAACUUGAGUGCAAGAGGGGAGAGUGGAAUUCCAUGUGUAGCGGUGAAAUGCGUAGAUAUAUGGAGGAACACCGGUGGCGAAAGCGGCUCUCUGGCUUGUAACUGACGCUGAGGCUCGAAAGCGUGGGGAGCAAACAGGAUUAGAUACCCUGGUAGUCCACGCCGUAAACGAUGAGUGCUAGGUGUUAGACCCUUUCCGGGGUUUAGUGCCGCAGCUAACGCAUUAAGCACUCCGCCUGGGGAGUACGGUCGCAAGAUUAAAACUCAAAGGAAUUGACGGGGACCCGCACAAGCGGUGGAUGAUGUGGAUUAAUUCGAUGCAACGCGAAGAACCUUACCUGGUCUUGACAU